UGGGGAAUAUUGGACAAUGGACCGAGAGUCUGAUCCAGCAAUUCUGUAUGCACGAUGAAGUUUUUCGGAAUGUAAAGUGCUUUCAGUUGGGAAGAAAAAAAUGACGGUACCAACAGAAGAAGUGACGGCUAAAUACGUGCCAGCAGCCGCGGUAAUACGUAUGUCACAAGCGUUAUCCGGAUUUAUUGGGCGUAAAGCGCGUCUAGGUGGUUAUGUAAGUCUGAUGUGAAAAUGCAGGGCUCAACUCUGUAUUGCGUUGGAAACUGUAUAACUAGAGUACUGGAGAGGUAAGCGGAACUACAAGUGUAGAGGUGAAAUUCGUAGAUAUUUGUAGGGAUGUCGAUGGGGAAGCCAGCUUACUGGACAGAUACUGACGCUAAAGCGCGAAAGCGUGGGUAGCAAACAGG
rnacentral:rRNA from 1 species